UUUUUAAUUUUUUAUAAUGGGCUUUGUUUUGGGCCCUUAUUUUUUUAAAUAUGGUAUUCAAUACGCAUUUUAAUCAGAUUUUUAGGGCAAAUUCAAUUUUUUCGCCGGAAUUCUCUUUUUAGGGUUCUAUGUCAAAAGUAUUUGCCUUUUAGGUUUUGAAGGAAAAAAAGGUUCUUUGCUUAGUUCUUUUGAGAAUCAAAUUCAGGGGUUUUUUAUUUGUUGGCUAUUUAUCGAAGCUUUGAUUUUUCUACGGCGAGUGGAAGCUGAGGUAAAAAUUAGAUGAAGUCUCAGGUGAAUCGAUAGAAGGAUGAAGGCAACUGGCGGCGGAACACAACCGGCGAACCCUUCGUAUUUAUGUUGUAUGUAUAUUCAUUUUCUUGAUUUCUUCAUACAAAUCCCUGUAGACAUCGUAGAUUCUAUCAUACUUUUUGGUCUUUUUCAGUAUACUUUUUGAUUUUCAUGUUCUUUUAAAAAAUUAAGAACCUCCAACUGCUUUGGGAAUUUUCACAGGCAAACAGAAGAAGGCAUAAACCCAGAGCUAUGGCAAGCUUGCGUUGGUCCACUGGUAAACCUGUCGGCAGCUGGGGAUUCUUCAGUCGGUUUCGUUUUGCCUCAGAGCCUCCUCUUCUUUCACUCAGACAUCUCCCAAGGCAAGUUUUUUCAGAAAAAAAUUAACUAAUAUUGUAUCUUGAUUAUGUAUAAUUAUUUAAAUUCUAUUGUUGUUAUACAGUAAUUGCAAAUUUUAUUGACGUUUUAAUUGGAAAAUUUUGUUGCCCAGAUGGACUCUGAGAGCUAUAUGUUUGGACCCUAUAAGAUCGACUCAAAGGAAGUGUUUUACUAUACAGAGAAUGUUUCAAUAUCGGGCAACGUUGGGCUACUAGUUGCGGCGAGGGUGUUGGAGGUUUACAUACUAUUCUUCUUUUUUUCAUUUUUGUUUUUCACUAGGGAAGUGAUACAAUUUUCAUAUUAAUGGCGAUUAGGAAUCAGAGGUUGAUCACCACACUCUCCCCUUUCUGCCCUAAAUCCUGUCAUUCCUGUCUCUUUUUUUAGUAGACAUUUUGGUUUGUCUUCCUUUAUUUUGUUUAUCACAUAAUGAAUUUUAUUGAAUGGUGUUGCGUUCAUCUAUGUGAAAGAAUUAGAAUUUUCAAUUGAUAUUUGAUGUUAAUAUUUGUUUGGUUCAAUUUUGACAGUCGCGAUAGGUUGCAUUUUGAUUAUUGAAGUUUCUCCCAGCCUCCCCUCCCGCAUUGAAAUGAUACUCCCAAUAAUUAU
rnacentral:lncRNA from 1 species